ACGCUCGACACCUACGGGAGGCUGCAGUGGGGAAUAUUGCACAAUGGGGGAAACCCUGAUGCAGCGACGCCGCGUGAGCGAAGAAGUAUUUCGGUAUGUAAAGCUCUAUCAGCAGGGAAGAAGAAAGACGGUACCUGACUAAGAAGCCCCGGCUAACUACGUACACNCAGCGCGGUAAGUACUGAGCGGGCGUGGCGAAGGACG
rnacentral:rRNA from 1 species